rnacentral:lncRNA from 1 species
UGAGAGGUGACGACUACCGCGUGACACGGUUGGAUCCUUUAGAAAAACAGACAUCACAGCGACCUCUAGCGAUUUAAUUACUGUUUACGCGUACUGACUAGCAAAUAAAUAAUAUACUUGCAGUCAAUCAAGGUCGGAGCACUGCCUGGUUGUAUUCUCUGGCUGUACAAACCCACAAACAUUCAAAGAGUUUUCACAGGUCCAAUUGCUGAAAGAAAGGAAAGGUCUUCCCUCUAGUGGUGUACACGUGGAAAUACACACCGAAAAGGCCUACAUUUUGCAAGGUCUGAAUGCAGUGGUCUUAGCCUCCUGGAUUGUUGGGCAUGUGUCACUGAGCUCACUGGAUUCUGUCUCUGUCUUUCCUGCACUGGGGAAGCCUGUCAUAUGCAUAAGAUCACACAACAGAUUAGCACACGUCUGCAUACUUGUGUUUGGAUGGGGACACCAAAACAUGCAG